AGCUUCCCACCAAAAAGGUUCCCGGCUCUGUGGUACCAGCCAAUGUCAACCUGCUAGACUCCACCUGAGGUGAUCUGCCUCCUUGUGUGGUUUGCAUAGCACCAUAUGCUGCCCCGACUGAAUUUUUUACUCAGUGUGAAAUAAUUCCUGUUGACAGGAUAACCACAAUCACAGCAGUGCUCCUGGCAGAGCCGGGCUCCCCCAAACCUGUAAAGGCCAGCAUUUCAUCGGACAGUACUUCUGGGAGUGCGCAAAGCUUGUGUUCGGAAUGAGGAUGAAGGAUGACCUGGAGCCCCCUCAGCCAGCUGGGUCCAGAAUGGAAUUUUGUGCACCACAGACCUCAGAGGUCAGAAGAGAACAUCAACUCCCCUGGGACUGGAGUUCCUGACGGCAGUGAGUUGGCAUAGGGCUCUGGGAAUUGAACCUAGGUCCUCUCUGCAAGAGAAGUAAGAGCUUUUACCUGCUGAACUCACUCUCUACCCCGAGAAGGCUUUUAAAUGACUGCUAACUCUCUCCCCACUGCUGUACCAGGAAGAAAUGCAGGCUCUGAGCUCAUAUCUAACCUCCCAAACAAAAGGCCAGCAUUAAGCAGUCCCCACAGCUCCUCCAU
rnacentral:lncRNA from 1 species